rnacentral:rRNA from 1 species
GUGAGGAAUUUUCCGCAAUGGGCGAAAGCCUGACGGAGCAAUGCCGCGUGAAGGAUGAAGGCCUAUGGGUUGUAAACUUCUUUUCUCAGAAAAGAAUUAUGACGGUAUCUGAGGAAUAAGCAUCGGCUAACUCUGUGCCAGCAGCCGCGGUAAGACAGAGGAUGCAAGCGUUAUCCGGAAUGAUUGGGCGUAAAGCGUCUGUAGGUUGUUUAAAAAGUAUUCUGUCAAAGAUUAGGGCUUAACCCUAGAUAGGCAGAAUAAACUUUUAAGCUAGAGUUUGGUAGAGGCAGAGGGAAUUCCCGGUGGAGCGGUGAAAUGCGUAGAUAUCGGGAGGAACACCAAAGGCGAAGACACUCUGCUGGGCCAAUACUAACACUGAGAGACGAAAGCGAGGGGAGCAAAUGGGAUUAGAAACCCCAGUAGUCC